UGCUACACCGAAAGAAAAUGAGUGGCGAACGGGUGAGUAACACGUGGGUAACCUGCCCAUCAGCGGGGGAUAACACUUGGAAACAGGUGCUAAUACCGCAUAAUUCCAUCUACCGCAUGGUAGAUGGAUGAAAGGCGCUUUUGCGUCACUGAUGGAUGGACCCGCGGUGCAUUAGCUAGUUGGUGGGGUAACGGCCUACCAAGGCUGCGAUGCAUAGCC
rnacentral:rRNA from 1 species